CCUUCGAUAGCUCAGUUGGUAGAGCGGAGGACUGUAGAUCCUUAGGUCGCUGGUUAGACUCCGGCUCGAAGGA
rnacentral:tRNA from 1 species